rnacentral:rRNA from 1 species
GGCGCACGGGUGCGUAACGCGUGGGAACCUGCCUUUAGGUUCGGAAUAACUCAGAGAAAUUUGAGCUAAUACCGGAUGAUGUCUUCGGACCAAAGAUUUAUCGCCUUUAGAUGGGCCCGCGUAAGAUUAGCUAGUUGGUGGGGUAAAGGCCUACCAAGGCGACGAUCAGUAGCUGGUUUGAGAGAACGACCAGCCACACUGGAACUGAGACACGGUCCAGACUCCUACGGGAGGCAGCAGUGGGGAAUUUUGGACAAUGGGGGCAACCCUGAUCCAGCAAUGCCGCGUGAGUGAAGAAGGCCUUCGGGUUGUAAAGCUCUUUUGUCAGGGAAGAAACGGUGAGUUCUAAUAAAGCUUGCUAAUGACGGUACCUGAAGAAUAAGCACCGGCUAACUACGUG